GUAGGCGUGAUGUCACGGUGAAAACGUCAACAUAGUUCAUCAAAGUCAAUUUCAUUAGUAGGGCUGCUUUUUGUGUGUUUGUGGCAUGUGGGGUCCUGACCUGGCCAAAGGGAGAGUAACAUUCUUUUCAGCCACUCACUGUCCUGAUUGGAUCUACCAACUUGUCUGAAAUGACCAUUGGAUUGGGGUACUUCCCUGAUUCUGAUUGAAGGAGACAUUAUCUUCACCACAUCCGACUGAGAGGCAGAAGAACAAGAUCAGUCAUGAACCAUCCCAAUCAGCAUUUAGCUCUUUAACUUCCUCCAGCUGGGUCCAGCCUUGCCUCUGUCCCAGUGGAGUCCCCUACCCUGAGCUAACCUCCCCCGAGCGACAAGGGGGACCAGGUGCCAUCGCUGAACAGGAUGUUGAGGGGAGUGAUGGACAGUCUAUGAUGCUACCGUGAGAUCUGGGAGGAAAAGCAGAAGAUAUCCUACCAGACGGACAUCUGCAAGGUGGAGAGGCCAGUAGAACCUGCCAAUGCUUCCUCAGCAAUAGCUCUCCCAGCCUCCCCUCCUUCUUCUCCGUCCACCUCUCAGCAGGAAUGGUAAGUACAGUAUCUUAUUUUUUUAUUUUAAUGUAUUUUAGUUUCUUUAUACGAAGUAUUUCGACGUAAAUUUCGACUUUAACGGUGAAAUCCGACUUGCGCGGAAAUUCGGGUUACGUCGCCAGCAUAGGAACGGAACUCGUUCGGAAAUGGAGGACUUCCUGUACAUGUUUUUGCCUACUACUGUCUAUGCUGAGCCAAUCAAAUUAAAAUUACGGCCACGUGUUUAUGUACCACCCAUUUUCCAAGGCUGUUGCGGCUGACUAUCACCUGCCAAUCACUCUUCAUAUUUGUACUACAACCUGUAGACAUAUGGUCAGCCGGUUAAGAUGGACAAUAAAAGACAACCUCCAAAACAAAAAGGUGGUGCUGAGAAGUUGGGUGAUGAACAAAGGAAAUCCCCUCACACAAAACAAAAUAAAGGAGUUAUUUGGCAGUCGUUCGAGUUUGGUGAUGGCCAUGCAGAAGUCCGUUGCCAGCAUAAGCCCUGGUGAGUCUAGCCCUCAACAGCUGGAUAUCGACAAACACGAAAGACCUUGUGAGAUAAUCUUUGAAACUUUGUGAUGCUUUCGGCGUAAAUGCUUAUUUGGCAAACAUUAGUUUGCUUGCUAUUGGCGCAAAGUGCCGACUAUAUCCUUGUCGUGUUAGCUGAGUGGGCCUACAUUUACAGAGUUCGAAAUUAGCAUCGUUCAAUGACAAAAUGUUUCCUAUAUUUGUCAACCUGCUUACUGAUAAUGUUAUUUUCUGGUUAAAAUCACCCUGUUCCUGUAUUUGAGCUGACUCUGCUACUAAGUGAAUAUGAAUUAAUAAAUAGCUUAUUCAUUUGUCUGUAUAUGCAUGGGAUCAUCAGCAACCACAACAAUCAAUAAUUUCCUUCCAGAGUGUGUAUUAGGCCUGCACAAAAUGAGAAAAAAACUGCAAUAUUGCAAUUUGACUUACAUCCAUAUUUUUGUUGUCUCUCAAUCAUAAGGCCAGCAUGCAUGUUCCAGAGGGGAUGACUGUGACCUUCAAAUUGUCUGCAGUUCAGUGAUUGUCAAAGUGUGUUAUGGGUACCACUAGUGUUACGCCGGCUUACAUUUUAUUUUAUUUAA